rnacentral:misc_RNA from 1 species
AAAAGGGAAAGAAAAGCCUGUGCGUGAUGACUUUGUCCCUAAUUGACAACCUUUCUGUCCUUUGCCACCGCAUUCUUAUUCUCAUGCCUUCCACAGGUUAAUUAUCAUGAUUCAUGUGGUGUGUAUUUUUCAUGUACACUACCAACUAAAAUGCAUCACCUGAUCAUGCCUACCACACACCAUCAUAUCAUAUAUGCUCUUCUUAUCACUCAAUUCCUGAAAGGUUGUCCCCCCCAAGUAAAUUUUCUAGUGUUAUAUUGCAUCAGCAGGUGAUGCAAAUUCAGUAUUUCUUAGUUUUAAAGAAA